rnacentral:rRNA from 1 species
GAUGAACGCUGGCGGCGUGCUUAACACAUGCAAGUCGAACGAACCUUCGGGUUAGUGGCGGACGGGUGAGUAACGCGUGGGAAUCUGCCCUCAGGAGGGGGAUAACGGUUGGAAACGACCGCUAAUACCCCAUAUGCCGAGAGGUGAAAUGAAUUUCGCCUGAGGAUGAGCCCGCGUCUGAUUAGCUUGUUGGUGAGGUAAUGGCUCACCAAGGCAUCGAUCAGUAGCUGGUCUGAGAGGAUGAUCAGCCACACUGGGACUGAGACACGGCCCAGACUCCUACGGGAGGCAGCAGUGGGGAAUUUUCCGCAAUGGGCGCAAGCCUGACGGAGCAACGCCGCGUGAGGGAUGAAGGCCUCUGGGCUGUAAACCUCUUUUCUCAAGGAAGAAGAUAUGACGGUACUUGAGGAAUAAGCCACGGCUAAUUCCGUGCCAGCAGCCGCGGUAAUACGGGAGUGGCAAGCGUUAUCCGGAAUUAUUGGGCGUAAAGCGUCCGCAGGCGGCCAUUCAAGUCUGCUGUUAAAGCGUGGAGCUUAACUCCAUCAUGGCAGUGGAAACUGAUUGGCUUGAGUAUGGUAGGGGCAGAGGAAAUUCCCGGUGUAGCGGUGAAAUGCGUAGAUAUCGGGAAGAACACCAGUGGCGAAGGCGCUCUGCUGGGCCAUUACUGACGCUCAUGGACGAAAGCCAGGGGAGCGAAAGGGAUUAGAUACCCCUGUAGUCCUGGCCGUAAACGAUGAACACUAGGUGUCGGGGGAAUCGACCCCUUCGGUGUCGUAGCUAACGCGUUAAGUGUUCCGCCUGGGGAGUACGCACGCAAGUGUGAAACUCAAAGGAAUUGACGGGGGCCCGCACAAGCGGUGGAGUAUGUGGUUUAAUUCGAUGCAACGCGAAGAACCUUACCAGGGCUUGACAUCCUGCGAACCUUUAAGAAAUUAGAGGGUGCCUUCGGGAACGCAGUGACAGGUGGUGCAUGGCUGUCGUCAGCUCGUGUCGUGAGAUGUUGGGUUAAGUCCCGCAACGAGCGCAACCCACGUUUUUAGUUGCCAGCAUUUAGUUGGGCACUCUAGAAAGACCGCCGGUGAUAAACCGGAGGAAGGUGUGGGUGACGUCAAGUCAUCAUGCCCCUUACGUCCUGGGCUACACACGUACUACAAUGCUACGGACAAAGGGCAGCAAACUCGCGAGAGCUAGCAAAUCCCAUAAACCGUGGCUCAGUUCAGAUCGUAGGCUGCAACUCGCCUACGUGAAGUAGGAAUCGCUAGUAAUCGCAGGUCAGCAUACUGCGGUGAAUACGUUCCCGGGCCUUGUACACACCGCCCGUC